AUUCUGCCCAUGCGGGGAAGGAUGAGAAGCUUCGACCAAGGUUCGACUCGAGCGCCAGCGAGAGAGCGUGGCCGCAGGCAACGACCCGAAGGGCGAAGCGCGCAGCGCUGAG
rnacentral:sRNA from 1 species